CUCUUAUUUGAAUAAGCUCGGGCUUAUUAUUGCAGUUACAAGUCUGUGGAAGCUGCGGGUGCAACGUGAUUCCCUGGCGGUUACACAACGCUGGAGAGCUGUGCUCGCCACUGCCAGCCGCUCCAGGGCUGACUUCUGAAGAAACAGAAAACAAACAGGACUUGGUGUUUUCCAAAGAGGUGCCUUGGUCAUGGUAUUUUACCACAGCAACAGAAAAGUAACUAAUACUCAUGAGGAACAAGAAUCCAAUCUUUGCUGGAAGACACAGAUAUGACUUUGUUUCUUAGGGAAACAAAGCCAGCCUCAAGGGCCUCUCAUGCACUCUGACUUAUAAGGGUCUGGUUGCUGUUGGCAGCUGGACUGAAAGAAGAACAGGUCUACUCUAGAGUGAACCGUGCUCCUAACUGGAGAGUCGGACAGAACAUCCUCAUCCCUGCCUCUCCACAGCCAACCUGAAAGGCACCUUCGGCGCUGGCCUGCCCAAAGUGCCUAGGAAUCAGGUGUGGUUGGCAUGAUGCCAACACCACUUAUUUACUGCUGAGAGUUAAAGACCUCUCAGCCUUCCUGCUCCUGCCACCGUGCAUGCCACCUGCUGCCAUGCCUACUCACCAUGAUGGACUCUUGUUUUUCUGGAACCAUAAACAAACAAACAAAAACAAAAAACACCACCUCUACCACCUCUUUUUUCCAUAAGUUGCUUUUUUUUUUUUUUUUAGCACAGCAACAGAAAGAUAACUAAUACAAGCCUCAAGAAGGAAGAAAAUUCUGGGAUAGCCUAGAAGAACCUGGAAGACACUAUGCUAAAUGAAUUGAACCCUUCACAACACAUGGUUAUUAUAUAAUUCUCCUUCUAGGAGGGAUCUAGAGUUCAGUCCGUCAGAUAGAAACACAAUGUGGUUACUGAUGGCUUAGGAAGGAGGAAACAAGGAGAGAGAAGUUGGUGUUUGGUAAGUAGGAAGCUUCCUUCAUGGGAAAGACGAAGAGGCUCUGGAGACCAUGUGAACACAAUGGUCAGAGAACGUUCUUGAUGCCACUCAACUGCCCACAUAUAAUAUUAACGUGCUAAGUUUUAUAUUGUCAAUAUCCUACCAUAAUAAAAAGAUGAGUAGAAUAUUCCUAGCCUCUGGUACCCUCAAACAGCCUGUUUAGGAAUGAUGGGUUCUUUGUUGUCCUCAGAGACGAGAAUCCCAUGAUGCCAUCUUCUUGUCCUUUAACCUUGGCAGGUGCAACCUCCACAGCCCUCAGCCUUUGAGCUAUUGGACAGAUUUGCUAGCAAGAAAAAUAGGGGCACAUGAAAGAUAAGACACAAGAUCAACCCCAACUAUGAACUGGCUCUGCUGCCACCAUCAGGAAGGGGCCAUCAUGUUGAGAUAAACUGGUCUUGGCUUGCACGUGUAUGAUUUUCCUCACCACUGCCAACUCAUAAUGCUAAUUCUUUUUUUUUGUUGUUUUUUUGUUUUUGUUUUUGUUUUCCCUGUAUUGCUUUGGAGGUUGUCCUGGAACUGCUCUGUAGACCAGGCUGGCCUUGAACUCACAGAAAUCCACCUGUCUCUGCCUCCCGAGUGCCUAGAUUAACGCCCGGCUUUCCUCACCUUUUAAUAGAUUUUUACAGAAGGUCAUGGAAAAUUCCUAAAGGAGAGUGAGCCUGGGGGCUGGGCUGGGAGAAUGUGAGGGAGGAAGAGUCAAGGAAGCAUAGGAGGAAGGGUAGACAGCAAGCCUCAAAUGUUCCAUAGGCCUCCUUGGAAGACAUUAAAUUAGGGGUUAGGAUGGCCUUGGAGUACUGUCCAUCUUAACAACUAUCAGUCUCCACGACACACUCAUAAACUAGAAAGCAAGUCAGAUACAGGAGGCUUCUAUUGCUACUAUUCAACACAUCUGUCCCCAGUUUCUGCCUUCCUCAGGGGUCAGCUUGGCACACAUAUCAACACACCUUGGAAGGG
ensembl:lncRNA